rnacentral:lncRNA from 1 species
AUGGAAAAAGCAAGGUGUUAUUUAAACUGUUUGGUAAAACAACAGAGACAACACUGUGAUGUCACCAGUUCCCAUGGAUUUAAUUACCAUCUCUAUGCUGAUGAUUCUCAGGUCUACCUUUCCUGCCCCAAUCUCUCUGCUGACUCCAACUUGAAUCUCCAUCUGCCUUUCAGACAUCUCAAACUGGAGGCUCUUGUCCCGGAGAGGUGGCUCUGGCUUAUCACUUCCUGUGAGCAGGCCUGUGCAACAGUUCAAUCCUGGAACUCAAGCCUGGAGGAACUCCCUCAGACAGCAUCCUUGAGAUGGUCUUGUGCCAAUAUGUUCAUGCCUCCUACUGAAAGACCAUCCUUGCUAUGGAUGAAACCAGCAACUGUAAAGAAGUCUUCACUGAAGAAAGUAAGGGGUCAAUCACAGUUUCCAAAUUGUCCAAAUUGUCUAGCACUGCCCCUGGGGCAGUGUCUUUGGGAUUCACACGUCUCAUCCUCUAAAGGUGUCAACUCUUAUCAAAGGCCUCUGACAGUGUCAACUCUGAUCAUAGGAUUCACAAGUUUGGGAUCCAUACAUCUCAUCCUCUUAAGAUAUAAACUCUUAUCAAAAAAUUCACAAGUUUCUGACUGAGUUAUGUAAUAUUUAAUGGGAAAAUGUGUUUGAAG